GACGAACGCUGGCGGCGUGCUUAACACAUGCAAGUCGAACGAAGUGGCGAACGGGUGAGUAACGCGUAAUCAACCUGCUCUUCAGAGGGGGACACCAGUUGGAAACGACUGCUAUUCCCGCUUACUGAUUGAUGGGAUUUCGUCUGAUUAGCUAGUUGGAGGGGUAACGGCCCACCAAGGCGAUGAUCAGUAGCCGGUCUGAGAGGAUGAACGGCCACAUUGGGACUGAGAAACGGCCCAGACUCCUAAGGGAGGCAGAAGUGGGGAAUUUUCCGCAAUGGACGAAAGUCUGACGGAGCAACGCCGCGGGAGUGAUGACGGCCUUCGGGUUGUAAAGCUCUGUUAAUCGGGACGCGGUACCGGAAUAGAAAGCCACGGCUAACUACGUGCCAGCAGCCGCGGUAAUUC
rnacentral:rRNA from 1 species